rnacentral:rRNA from 1 species
GGGUUGUGAGGUUAAGCGACUAAGCGUACACGGUGGAUGCCCUGGCAGUCAGAGGCGAUGAAGGGCGUGCUAAUCUGCGAUAAGCGCCGGUAAGGUGAUAUGAACCGUUAUAACCGGCGAUACCCGAAUGGGGAAACCCAGUGUGAUUCGUCACACUAUCAUUAACUGAAUCCAUAGGUUAAUGAGGCGAACCGGGGGAACUGAAACAUCUAAGUACCCCGAGGAAAAGAAAUCAACCGAGAUUCCCCCAGUAGCGGCGAGCGAACGGGGAGGAGCCCAGAGCCUGAAUCAGCAUGUGUGUUAGUGGAAGCGUCUGGAAAGGCGCGCGAUACAGGGUGACAGCCCCGUACACAAAAGCGCAUGUGCUGUGAGCUCGAUGAGUAGGGCGGGACACGUGGUAUCCUGUCUGAAUAUGGGGGGACCAUCCUCCAAGGCUAAAUACUCCUGACUGACCGAUAGUGAACCAGUACCGUGAGGGAAAGGCGAAAAGAACCCCGGCGAGGGGAGUGAAAAAGAACCUGAAACCGUGUACGUACAAGCAGUGGGAGCACAGGUUUACCUGUGUGACUGCGUACCUUUUGUAUAAUGGGUCAGCGACUUAUAUUCUGUAGCAAGGUUAACCGAAUAGGGGAGCCGGAGGGAAACCGAGUCUUAAUUGGGCGUUAAGUUGCAGGGUAUAGACCCGAAACCCGGUGAUCUAGCCAUGGGCAGGUUGAAGGUUGGGUAACACUAACUGGAGGACCGAACCGACUAAUGUUGAAAAAUUAGCGGAUGACCUGUGGCUGGGGGUGAAAGGCCAAUCAAACCGGGAGAUAGCUGGUUCUCCCCGAAAGCUAUUUAGGUAGCGCCUCGUGAAUUCAUCUCCGGGGGUAGAGCACUGUUUCGGCUAGGGGGCCAUCCCGGCUUACCAACCCGAUGCAAACUGCGAAUACCGGAGAAUGUUAUCACGGGAGACACACGGCGGGUGCUAACGUCCGUCGUGAAGAGGGAAACAACCCAGACCGCCAGCUAAGGUCCCAAAGUCAUGGUUAAGUGGGAAACGAUGUGGGAAGGCCCAGACAGCCAGGAUGUUGGCUUAGAAGCAGCCAUCAUUUAAAGAAAGCGUAAUAGCUCACUGGUCGAGUCGGCCUGCGCGGAAGAUGUAACGGGGCUAAACCAUGCACCGAAGCUGCG